UACGGGGGGUGCAAGCGUUGCUCGGAAUCACUGGGCGUAAAGCGUCCGCAGGCGGCUUGAUAAGUCGGGUGUGAAAGCCCAGGGCUCAACCCUGGAACUGCAUUCGAAACUGUCUGGCUUGAGUACGGGAGAGGGUCGUGGAAUUCCUGGUGUAGAGGUGAAAUUCGUAGAUAUCAGGAGGAACACCGGUGGCGAAAGCGGCGACCUGGCCCGAUACUGACGCUCAUGGACGAAAGCGUGGGGAGCAAACAGG
rnacentral:rRNA from 1 species